AAGAGUAAUUUAGAAUAAAAUAGAGCUGCUAACUCUGUUUUGAGCAAUUCAAACUGUUCUACUCUUU
rnacentral:tRNA from 1 species